rnacentral:piRNA from 1 species
UUGGACGAUAUGUUGCUAGGAUGUAAGAGCC